rnacentral:rRNA from 1 species
CCUACGGGGGGCAGCAGUGGGGAAUUUUACGCAAUGGGGGAAACCCUGACGUAGCGACACCGCGUGAGCGAAGAAGCCCCUUGGGGUGUAAAGCUCUGUCAGCUGGAACGAAACAAAUGACGGUACCAGCAGAGGAAGCAUCGGCUAACUACGUGCCAGCAGCCGCGGUAAGACGUAGGAUGCGAGCGUUGUCCGGAUUUAUUGGGCGUAAAGAGUUCGUAGGUGGUUUGUUAAGUUUGAUGUUAAAGAUCGGGGCUCAACCUCGGGACAGCAUUGAAUACUGGCAGACUUGAGUAUGGUAGAGGCUAGUGGAAUUCCCAGUGUAGCGGUGAAAUGCGUAGAUAUUGGGAAGAACACCGGUGGCGUAGGCGACUAGCUGGGCCAUAACUGACGCUGAGGAACGAAAGCCAG